CCGCGCAUUACUCUCGCCCCUGCGCGCACGACCUCCCCCUCCUCCUCCUACUCCUCCCGUGCCGUUCGCCGCCGCGUAAAUUCCGGCAGAACUCCGACAGCCGUUAGCCGCCCUUCACCGCGGGAGAAGUCGCGGGAGCCGCUCGCCGCUCGCCGCUGGAGCCACCGCGGGUCGCCGCUAUAGCCGGAGCCGCCGCGGGUCGCCCUUCGCCAUGGUCGCCGCCGGAGCCGCCCCGCCCCUCCCCGGCGCUCCAACCCCAACUCCCCGACGCUCCAUCCUCCCUGCCCCGCUUCUCAUCACCACCGCCGCCCUCCCCGAAGCCCAUCUCUCUCCAGCCUCCCCGCCCGCAUGCAGCCCUCGCACUCGGCACCGCACGGGCCUGGCCCUCUCUCCUCGGAUCCGGCCACCAUGGAGAACCUGACCCGUAGGGCAUACCCUCCUCCUCUGAUGCGUAACACCCAUCACUGCCCCGGCGGCCGGUUGGGAUCCUGUCCGCCAUCAUGAGCAGCUGCUCCGCGUCCGAGUGCACCGACUCGGAGGUAGAGGUUGGGCUGUAGCUUGUGGACGCCAAGGAAGAACGCAAGUUGUUGCCGUCGCCGAAGAUGAAAACUGGUGGGUGAAAAUUUCUGAAGAAAAGUUAUUUGAGUACUCCUGGUGUGCUGCUGGAAUAAACUGAAGAUCGAGAUGGUGGAGGCAGCCAGUGUCGUGGCCGUUUGCUGGGGAGCUUGCCGGCGUUGUGGUGGAGAAGGUUGGUUGCCUCCUCUCCCCACCAAGUCACUUUGGCCCAUAGAUCGAGUUCAUGGUGGAUAAGGAAGGUGUGGUCGAUUUCACCAGGCUGGAUCCGAAGGUCCCGAAGUCCUAUGCCAUGAACCGGCCACGGCGCAUGCGGCCGGAUGCACUUGCUCAACACCUUUCCAUCUCUGUACAAUCAGGUAAAGAUUUCCUCACGUGCCAAAUAUCAUUUUCAGGUUGCCAAAUAGUAGGCUGGGAACUAUAGAAAGUGGAUUGCUGAGUUUGCCAAGCAUAAUAGCACACCUAUUAUCAGAUGACCUGAAGAGUAUAUCAACCAAAGAUGCUUUCAGAUUUAUGCAUGCCUAUAUUAGGUUCCUAUAAACUCCUGUAUUCUUUUCAAUAGAUUGCCACAAUAGCUUCUUUAAGGCACCAGGGAAUCAUCUUUUCUAUAUAUCAGGUAAAUAGCUAUACACCAGUUUCAUGGCAAGUGCCUUGAUGUCUACAUAUAGCACUGUAUGAUACUACUACAUCAAUCGUUAAACUGCCCAUACAAACAUCGCUUAGAGCAGUAGUGUUCUCUGAAUGAAAUUAUUAUCUGUCCCAAAGGGUUCUUGAUAAAACUUAUUCUGAAUUUUAGAUGGUCACACACUGUACAUACAUUGGCAGUGGAAGCUAAUAGAUCGACUGUUGAAUUGCUCAUACAAAUUUCUCUAAGAAUAGUGUUCUCUGAAUGUAAUUGUUAUCCGUCCAACCGAUCUUACAGGAUUACAGUAGGAAUCAAUCCAUAGGUUUGAGUUGAUAUUGGAAGAAGCACAAACAUAACCGGACCCGGCUGAGCCGAAAGGUGUAAAUUUUUGGCCGUCACUUUGUUCAGUUUUCCCUGUACCUGCACUUACUGUCUUCACCUCGAACCUACCUUCAUACUUGCAGGAAUGUAAUAACACUUUGCAUCAGGCUUGUGAGCAACUGUAAGUUGUUUUGCAUGUGAUACUACUUGGGGUAAUGUUUGCUACCGGUCGACCGGCUACAGACUAGGCCGGUCGCGCGAGCAGCAUACGAUCGCUUGCAAUCUCUCGCCUGCGGCUGUGCCACGUCUUCCUCCUUCCCUCCCCACGCGUCCCCUCGUGGGCCCUGCAAACCGCCUCGCAGCGUCUCCCUUAUCGUUCCGCACAGUCAACCCAUCGCAAUGUCUUCCUCCCCCAAAUCAGAGACACACCCUGCGGUGAGCGGCCGCCGUCCACCUGACCCGGACUACUCCAGCAAGUGGCUGCCAUCCACUAGCCCCACACUGCUCUGGCGAUCCGACCGGCCACCCAUCCACCUGCGCGGCUGUGCGGCAACCCAUCUUGUUAUGCCCGCUGCUCGAAGGUGUUACAACUACGCCGCCGUGGUACUUCAGUCAGCGGCGACUGUGCUACAAUGGUGGCGAGCGGGUGGUGGCCAGGGGUGCGCGGCGGCGGUGACCGCGGCUGGCACCGAGUGCUGCAACCGACGAGCAUUUUUGCUGGAACCUGCCGGCGGAGAAGUUGGAAGCGGCAGGGCGAUAAGCUGCAACCAAUAUCGGCGGCGAGUCGAACAUGCUACAACCGGCAGAUCACGAGCUACAACCGACGUUUGUUUUUGCUGGGACCGGUGAGAAUUUUUGCUCCCACCGGCGCACCAUUGUUCGCUGAUUCAUGCCACUGUUUUUUGCUGGAACCAUCCAGCUUUUUUGCUGGAACCAGCGUUGGUAGAUGCUACAUGGGUGAACUGAAGAUGUUUUCACUGUCGUCAAUGGCUAUACGAAGAUGCAGGAGGCGGCGAUGAAGAUGUUUUGACGGUGGAUGGAAAAUGCUACAACCGGCUUCGUAAUUUGGUACGAGCCAUCUGAGGUCGUCGAAGAGAUUUUGUGCCGGAACCGACGAGAGAGCGGGGGAGGAGGUUGGUCGGCGAGCGGCAGAGCUUUGAGCUCUCUGUCGCCUCGCAUGGGUUUGUGGUAUUGGCGGCGCUCGAUCACAGCUUUUUUUGUCUGCGGGAGGAGGACGAAACGAGAGCUAAUCCGACGGCUACCAGGCGUAGAAUCGCGAGGCUCGCGGUUGACCGGCCGAAAUUUUCGGCCGGUUGACCGGCGCCUAUGUAUCGCCUACUAUUUGUGUGAUUUUUUUUACCCACUGUUCAAGAUAUAUUUCGAUAUUCUGAUAAAUCGGCCGAUUUAUCGUUUAUCAGCGUCAGCCUGAUAAAAUAAAUUGGCAGAUAAAUUAGGUGAUAUGGCGAUAAAUCGGCCGAUAUGCCGAUAAACUGGCCGAUCUAUCCCUUAUCAUGGGUUGACCGAUAAGUUACCGAUAAGCGAUAUCCCAAACAUUGUUUUUACCUUAAUAAACUUUCCUUCUUAUUAUAUAUCAUAUGGAAUUCUUCAAACAGAGAAGAGCAACUCAAUGAGUUGGCAUACAUUCAGUCAUCUAUGUUGAUGCAACUCAACUAACAAAGAGUAUUUAAGA